GCAGUUUCCAGGCUCCCCACGGCGGGGCUGAAUGAUCAAAACUGGUGCCUGCUGGUCCCCUCCCUGAAACGCGGUGUAAGAAGGCUUUACUGAUUAAUAUUUUGGACAGGCCGCGGCGGUCGGCAGGGGUGAGUUGCAUCUUAUAAAAAGGGUUCCUAUAGAAACCCGGGCUGUGGGGCUCUGCGGCCGAGUGCGCAACGCGCGCCCCUCCCCAAAGCCCCUUUUGGCGUGGGCGCCCCUCCUUUCCCCUCCACCCCCCCCCAAGAAAAACCAGAGCAGAAAAAAGGAUUAGAUCGGCGGAACGCGAGCUGAAUCCCUCUCGGUUCUGACAUUUCAGCCCUAUUAGCAUUUCUCCACGGGGCCUUCUGAAACCUAUUAAGGUGUAAUAUUAAAAACCUCUUGGCUGGGGGCCUCUCUCGCCUUCCAUCCGCCGCGCCCCCUCCAGGGAGGGCGAGACCGGGAAAGGGAAAAAAAAAUCUGUUGAGCUCAGACGAAGCAAGCCAAGCCCAAAAGUGCUUGGCUGGCCACGGCGGCCAGAGGGGGAGGGGAGCACCAAUCCCCCAGACUUUGUACUUUUAUUUUGCUCUUUCAGCAAAAGAAAAAAAAAAAAAAAAACUUUCGGGGUUAAGUGGCCGGGAGCCGCCGACGGCAGAUAGACCUGGCUGGAGACCCAGGGAGUGUGGUCCUCGCCGAAGGGACCGCUCCUAAAAGGGUGGGGGGAUCCCCUGCACCCUCUCCGCAAGCCCUACAGGAGCCCGAGUCCAGCCAGGCAUUACCUACCCUGGAAAGGAAGCUUGGGAAGGCAGAGAGCCUUGCAGAUCCUGCCUCGAGAGCAACCGUGGUUAUAGGGUUUUAAUUAAAACAAAAGAAGCCCGCUCUUUCGCCCUGCUCUGCGGACUCAGCGUUUUCCUACUGCUGCUAUUUUUUUUUUAAAGAAAAUCCAUUUUUAAGGCAAUUUUUGAGAGUUUUUUUUAAUGAGCUAGUUAGCGCUCAUCCGUUCUAUUUUUCUUUUCUCCACUUUUAGAAAGAAAAAAAAAAGAGGGAAGAUUCGAGAGAGAGAGAGCUGGGGGUGUCUAAUUUAAUUCCAGGAUAAAUUUGAAGGGAAAAAAAUUCGGCCUCUUGAGAGCAGUUUCAAGUUGCCCUUCCUGGAGCUUUCUGCGCUGGUUUCUAGGCUGCCCUCUUUUAGAAGCUGGGGCUCGGUGGGGGGAGGAGGGAGGAGUGAGAAGGAGAGAAAAGAACGAAAAUAGCCGGAGCCGAGGGGAACUGAGCGGCGGUGUCCGCGCGCUCAGAGCUGGGCGAGCGGGUCUCAGUGGCAGCCAGGGGCGACCGGAGGCGACCGGUGCUGCCCGGGGACCGCCAGGAGCAAAGACGGAGAGAGGGGGGUUAGAGAAAGGAGGUAUUGUGUCUAUGUGCCUUAGGGGAGGGGGGAGUUGAUUGCAAGAAAUAAAAUAAAUGCUGUUACGCUGCGAGGGCUGAUGGAAACAAGAGAGACCGGCUGAGGGGGUGGGGGGCGCCUAGUGCCCUUGAGUCUUAUCCAGAGGCCUUUGUGGGUUCCCAGUUAAACCCUCCCACGCCUCAGUCGCUCGCUUUCCCCCACCCCCAACGCCCUCCAAUAUUCAGAGCGCAGGCCCUGAUCUCCCACCAACCCCCUCAUCCCUCUCGGGAUCCAGAAUGUUUUUCUUAUUUUAAUACAGCUCAAGAAAAAAUAUGUAUCUUGAGAGGAUCGGGGUGGGGGAUUGUGCAAAAGGCUUGCGGGAUUGGAAAAAAACAAAGGCCUGUUUUUAUAAAUGUUUAAUGUUUUCACCCCUGGAUGCUCCAAGACGCCGUAAUUGUGACGGCGGGGUAUGUGUGCCAUAAAUCAUUUAGCUGCUAAUAAAAAAUUAUCCCAAUUUUCCCCGGA